rnacentral:lncRNA from 1 species
GCACUUCAGGAGUGAAUAGCAGCAGGCCAGUAAACACGAAUGAAGGAUCUCCAGAGAGGUCACGGGAGGUCAUGAAAGUAACAUCAGUUCCUAGGAAGAGAAAGUGGAGUGAGGUGGAGAUUGCGGCUGUAGAAGAGACAAUGAUGAAAUUUAUUCACUCGGGAGUUACACCUGGAAAAGUCGACUACAUUGCAUGCAUUACAGCAGCCCCCCAAAGCCCUCUGUGAACGAGACUGGCAGGCGGUGAAGUAUUAUAUAAAAAACAGAAUCACAGCAUAUGAGAGAAAGACCACUAAAAAGUAAGGUUGAUUUUGGUUGUUGAUUCCGUUUUUGCGUUUUAGUUGAAUUAUAAUAUUUUUUUUUUGGUCUCAAUACUAGGGCUGCACGAUAUUGGGGAAAAAGGACAUUGCGAUAUCUUAUUUUUCUGCGAUAUAUAUUGCGAUAUGAUAUCUAAUCUAAUUUUUUCUUACAAACAAAAAUGGCAUGAGCACACAUACAUUCUCAUUUUAAAUGAUUUAAACAUCAGAGUAUUGUUUAAAUUAGAGUAAAUUAUUUGUUUGUAACUUUAGGAUAUGGUUUGAAUUGUUAACAUUAACUAACAUGAACUUACCAUGAGCAAUACUUGUGUUACUAUAUUUUUUAAUCUUUGUUUAUCUUAGUUAUCUUAAACACAGCUGUUCAUUGUUUGGUAAUGUUACUUCACAGUAGGGAUGCACCGGUUGACCGGCCAUUAAUCGGAACCGGCCGGUUUUUGCUUAAAAUACGCAAUCGCCCGUUUUUGGUGUUUUUCCGGCCGAUUUUUCCGGAAGUGCAACAUUUUGGAAAAUGUAUUUAUAUAGCAUACUUUUAUUUAGUCUCACUGGUAAAGACCUUUUUUUUUUUUAACUUAAAACCAAAUUUAAAAACUAAAAUACUGAAUGCUGAUCAAGAAACAUCUUAUUGAAUGUGUGUUGAUUGUGUUGUUUGGACUGUAGAACUAUGCAGUUGUUACCUUUAAUUUCACAUGGUUACAGUUAAUCUUUUAUUUAAGGCCAGUUCUCUGUAGUUUCAACCCAAUUCAAAAACAAAAGUUAAAUGCUGAUGUCUGUACCAUCUGUGUUUGUAUUGAAUGUAGGCUACUUAUUGUGCAGUUACUGCUAUUAAUUUAAUAAACAAGAUUUGACAACACAGAACACGUCAUAGAAUUAUAAUUUUUUUUUCCGACAUCGUUUUUUGAUUUUGAUAAAUUUGCGCGAGGGAGAGAGCAAGACAACGCUUGUGUUGUUUGAAGACGGUGAAGGUGGGCGUGAGCGCGUGGCUGGGCCCUCUCUCUCUCUCUCUCUCUCUCUCUCUCUCUCUCUCUCUCUCUCUCGUGCUCUUUCUCUCUCUCUCUCUCUCUCUCUCUCUCUCUCUCUCUCUCUCUCUCUCUCUCUCUCUCUCGUGCUCUUUCUCUCUCUCUGCUCGUUCUUAUGCGCUGUGUUAAACUGCUAGGACUUAAACUGUGCAAUUAAUCCGCGAAUCACAUUCGUCAAGGGCCGGGGAGCAGCUGCCCAUACAGUUAAUGAAUAACGGAUCAACUACGACAGCCUACAUCGCACAUCCUGCAAUGUGACUAUCGUGAAUUUGUACAUCGCGAUAUCGAUGCUUAAACGACACAUCGUGCAGCCCUACUCAAUACCGUAGUUGAAACAUUAUAAUGUAACUUAAGUUUUGAAAGAGUUAAAACGGCUUGAUGUUGGUUGUAAAUUUGGUGCUUGGACUUCCUUGUUUUUAAUGCUGUGUCAAGUGAUAAGCAGUUGGUGUAAAUGUUUUUUCUAAUUGCGUAGAUUAGUUUUACUGUACAGUAGCCAUACGACAGAGUGAGUGUCUAUAGUAUUCAAUCCCUUUAUUCAGGCCCCUUUACGUUUCACAUUUUAAUUGUAAAUUGAUAAAUUUAUUUUCUGAUGGCACAUUAGACGAAACGCAUCAUAAAAACUAUGUUGUAAUAUCUGAUGGCAAGCACUGAACCCAUACUGUACUGAUUAAAUUUGGCUGUAGAUUCAAUUUGUAUCAAGGUCGUUUUUAUUUCUCUUGGAUUUCUUUUAAUGACUUAAAGAUUAAAUUCUUAGAGCAUUUCAAAACCAGACAAAAAAAAAAAAAAAACAUUCCACUGAUAAUGUUCAUAAUUUUAGACAAUUUAAGAAUUGUAGCUCUGAUCUAACCUUUCCGAAUGUGUUAUUACUGGUUAACUACAGGAUACUUAACUUUACUUCAAACAUAAUUCAUACUUUUAAAAGUAAGCUUACCAUGUAUACGUUUAAUUGGUAUGGUAAUUAAAAAAAAAAAAAUUGUGUGUAUUUACUUAUUGUGUGCUCUGUCAGGUUUAGGGUGGGUGUUUGUAAAAGCACUCUGUGACAACUUUAUUUUAAAGGGCUUUAUAAUAUAUAUUAGAUUGACUUUGAUAAGAGCAGCAAAAUCACAUUCAACGUACGUCUCUCAUGGGUCAUAAUAAUCAGUAAAUUUAGCAACUAAAUUGUGUAAGAAUGAGUUAAAUGCAGUAUAUGAUUGUGGCAGUCUUAGUGGACUGAAAUGGCUUGCAGUUGAAAAUUGCAUGUUGUUCAAGUUCAUUUUUGAAGUUAAGAUGAACUAACUUAUUAAACCACCCUAUUUUUAACAAACCAAUAUAACUUCCAGAAAUACCAUUAUGCAUUGGCCAGCUGGCCAUAUUAUGACCUUUCUUUGUCUGUAGAUUACACUGGUUUGUCCCCAGAUUGGACAUCCAUGUGUACUUACUCAUACACUAGUUGGUCAGGGUUUUGUCCCCAGAUGGGACUUCCGUUAAUGCCCAUAUAAGGAGUUGUCCCCGUGUCCCCACAUGUGUUAACCUGACCUGUCCCCAGAUUAUCACCUACCCUUAUUUUAAUGAAUUAAUUACAUUUUAAGUGAGAUAUUUAUUAAACUUUUUUUUUUAGAUUUUUUGAUGUGUUUAUCUAGUCUCUAGGAUGUCAGGAAAGUGGUGUCCCCAAAAUGUGGUAAAUAACUGGUGCCCCCACGAGGCACCCCAAACAAGUAUGUGUGAGUGUGUGAGUGUGUGUGUCUGUGUGUUUGUGUGUGUGUGAGUGUCUGUGUGUGUGUGCGCGUGUGUGUUUGUGUGCUUGUGUCUGUGUGUGUGUGUGUGUGUGUGUGUGUGUGUGUGUGUGAGUGUCUGUGUGUCUGUGUCUGUGUGUGUGUGUGUGUCUGUGUGUCUGUGUGUGUGUCUGUGUGUGUGUGUGUGUGUGUGUCGGGGGUCACACUGAAGCAGGUCAGCAGGUGAGGGAGGCUCAGCGUCAGACAGCAGACAGACAGGAGCUGCUCGCAGCAAGCGCAGACAAGACUCUGUCAGGAGGAAUAUUGAAGUAUGUGGAGGUCGCCGGCCGAUUAGAGCCAUAUGACUGAACAUGAGGGAGAAGAAUGCAGAAACAGUCGUGAAGCGCCUCGUUCUCACCCCUGCUGGCCUGCCGUUUAUUGAAGGGCUCAUUUGUUUGUUUUUGGCAUAGUCUGAAUGUGAUUUUGAUGCUCAGAGUCAGGUGAUCUGAAGGGGAGGGGCUUGCUCAUUCUACACAGAAUCUGAUUGGACAUAAAUUAGUGUAAUAUAAUGUCAGUUAGAGAUUUGGUCCACUUUCUUAUGAGAGUAUUCCAUGGGGUCUUUUAACAUGGAAAGAUUCACAUUCGAAUGAGGACAGAAUGGAAUAAUGGAGUAAUGUGGAAUUAAAACUGAUUAAAACGGACUGUUUUUUUUUUUGCUAAAUUGAUUCCAGCUCCAUCGCACAAACUGAUGUUCUUCCUCUGUAUUUAUGUCUUGUCUUCCAGCUCAAAUAUUUAUGUGGAGAUGCACGAGAACAUCAGAUAAUAAAUGAAAGUGGUCAAAAAAUGAGUUUAUGAUUAAAACAAGAACAAAUAUCUGCCAGUGAGCUCAGAAAAAUAAACUAAAUUCAAAAGGAAACCAAGAUGAUUUUCUGAACCCAUUGGUACAUAUUGGUUCUUGUUGUCAUAAACUCGCUUCAUUUGGAUCAGUUUCUCAUAAAACAGGGUAAAUGUAUCUUAAUUUAAGAGUCUUUAGUUUUUGCACAUUUGAAAACAAGGCAGAAAUACUGUGUUUUAACAGUGACUGGAUCAUAAAUCAAAUGUUAUUUGACUGAAGGGUUAGGUAAGUAAUGAUAAUUUGUAACUGAUACAGAACUUAAUAGGUAGCCAGUGCAGAGACUGUAAAAUUGGGGUAAUAUGAUCAUAUUUUCUUGACCUCGUAAGGACUCUAGCUGCUGUAUUGUGGACGACCUGUAGCUUGUUUAUUGACGAAGCAGGACAACCACCUAGAAGUGCAUUACAAUAGUCCAGUCUAGAGGUCAUGAAUGCAUGAACUAGCUUUUCUGCAUCAGAAACAGAUAACAUGUUUCGUAGCUUGGCAAUGUUUCUAAGAUGGAAGAAUGCAGUUUUUGUAACAUGGGAAAUAUGAUUUUCAAAAGACAAAUUGCUGUCUAAUAUAACACCCAGAUUUCUGACUGUAGAGGAAGUAACAGUACAUCCGUCUAGUUGCAGAUUGUAGUCUACGAGAUUCAGUGUAGUGUUUUUUGGUCCAAUAAUUAAUAUCUCCGUCUUAUCCGAAUUUAAUUGGAGAAAAUUAUUGGUCAUCCAAUCUUUUACAUUUUUAACACACUCUGUUAGCUUAGAUAAUUGGGAAGUUUCAUCUGGUCUCGUUGAGAUAUAUAGCUGAGUAUCAUCAGCAUAACAGUGGAAGCUAAUUCUGUAUUUUCUAAUAAUAUUACCAAGGGGCAACAUGUAUAUUGAAAAUAGAAGGGGACCUAGGACGGAUCCUUGUGGCACUCCAUAUUUUACUGAUGAUAAACGAGAUUAUCAUUGAGAUUAGACUCUCUGUUUAAAUCGAUUUCAUUUAAAGAGAUCGGACAGGUAGGAUCUAAACCAUCUUAGAGCCUGUCCUUGAAUACCUGUAUAGUUUUGUGAUUGAUCUAUGAGUAUGUCAUGAUCUAUGGUGUCGAACGCAGCACCAGUUCUAACAUUAGCACUCUUCUAAGACUCAAUAUUGCACUUCAUUUAAUGCCUCAUUGUCUUACUGUGAGAUUCAGAUGUGGUGACUGACAAUUUGUGGUCAUUUAAAGAGAAUAGUGUCAUGAACUUGUGAUUAGUCAGUGAAAGAAAGCGAAUCAUCCUUUUCAUCUGAUUCUCAUCUCACCGCCACAGGAAUUGGCCUCUACAUUUAUAGAGUCCUUCUUUCCUUUGCAAACCAAUUUCUGUAAUUACGUGCGGAAGCCCAACAAAACCACAGAUGUUUGGAUCCUCUUCACAGGUCUGAUGGAAACUUCCUGUUAUUGCAGGAGCUUGUCGAUGGGCAGGAGAUGUUUGAUGUCUGGGAUAAUUAAAGUAUCUCUGCGUGUGUUUGACUCUUUGACCCUGACAGAUUGAGACUUACAGUGGGAUCAGUCUGACAGAUUCAGUCUAAUCAUCCCACAUGUCCAGGCACAUUAGAUUCUAUAGCGCUUAAACAACACCGAUCGAUUCAAAACAGCUUCACAAGAAUAAACAGGAAAAUAAACAGUGUUAAAUUCACCCAUACUUGAAACAAAUUCAGUUUUAGUUAUCAUUGAUGUUUAGUUAUUUAUAAAUGAAAAAAAAAAUGGAUCAUGAAGCCGGUGUACAGAUGUUCCUGUGGAAGCUUGUAACUUUUUAAUCUUACAACGGUUUUUUAUUUUACAUUUUUU